rnacentral:rRNA from 1 species
GCAAGUCGAGCGAAGCAAUUAGUAGCUUGCUACUGAUUGACUGAGCGGCGGACGGGUGAGUAACGCGUGGGCAACCUACCUUACACAGGGGGAUAACACCGGGAAACUGGUGCUAAUACCGUAUGACAUCAAACUACGGCAUCGUAGAAUGAUUAAAGGAGUAAUCCGGUGCAAGAUGGGCCCGCGUCCGAUUAGCUAGUUGGUGGGGUAAAAGCCUACCAAGGCGACGAUCGGUAGCCGAACUGAGAGGUUGAUC